rnacentral:rRNA from 1 species
UUAGGUUAAGUUAGAAAGGGCGCACGGUGGAUGCCUUGGCACUAGGAGCCGAUGAAGGACGGGACUAACACCGAUAUGCUUCGGGGAGCUG